UGGAGCAGAGCUCCCCCAGCUUGAAUGUGAAAUUGCAGAUCCUGCUUCAGUAGAUGUGGGGGCGGGUGCUGAGAUGCUGCACUUCUAACAGAUUCCCAGACAUGGCCAAUGUCACUGGUCCACAGACCAGGCUUUGAGUACUGAAGUUCUAGAAUGCAAAUGAGCAGGCAAAGGCAUGUUCAUGUGUUGCAACCUUAAGGAAUCGGUCAUGAGAACUUGAACCAGAGAUGAAGACACAGAAGCUCAGAGAGGUAAAGCAAUUUGUCCAACGUCACACAGCUAAUAAGUGACAAGGCCAGGAUUGGAGCUGAGGUCUCUUUGGCCUUGUCACCAUAGAAGAGAUGGAUCCUUUCCCAGGAUCUAGCUCCAUUACCCAGCCCAGAUCUAGCUCUGUCCGCCGAAUGGUGUGAUCACAGCUCACUGCAGCCUCAGCUUCAACUGCCUGGACUUAAGCGAUCCUCCCACCUCAGCCUCCUGAGAAGCUAGGACCAGAGCCAUCCACCCAUGCCAAGCUAAUUUUUAAAUUUUUUUGCAGAAACGAGGUCUCACUAUGUUGCCCAGGCUAGUCUUGAACUCCUGGGCUCAAGCGAUCGUCCCACCUCAGCCUCCCAGAGUGUUGGGAUUACAGGCAUGAGCCACCGUGCCUGACCAAGAUCUUUAAAUAGUAAUAAAACAGACAUUUAUUAAGUGCAUCUCAUGUGCUGUGCGCUGUUCCAAGUGCCUACACUCCCCAUCUCAGUUAAGCACACACCACCCCACGGGCAGGCAGCUGCUAUCAUUAUCCCUUUCUCAUGGUGGGGAAGUGAAGAUCAGAAAGGCUGAAUAACUUGCUCAAGAUCACAAGUCUGGACUUGACUGCAGGCCUGGCUGAUCCCAGAGCCCAGAUCAAGAGUCUCCCCUGGUGCCUCUCCCCUAAAACCACCUCAGAAACCCCCUGGUGUGUAACUCUAAACCAUGCCUGCGGCAAACUCAGCCCAUUUCCUCUUCUCGCAUCUUAAGCCCAGAUGGGGUCUGAGUGACACUUAUCUCAUACCCUGUCAUAGAGCUGGAGCCCCACAGGAAUGUGGAACUCCCCAUGGACAGAGGGCAGGAGGAAGUGACCGCCGGCCCGAAGGGGGCUUGGUCCACUGGGUCCAAAGGUGCCGUCUGGCCCUGGCUGCCACAUGCCUCGUGUCCACAAAGCAGAAGUCACAGGGACAGGGAAGGAAGCCCGGCAGGCAGACUGUCAUCACAGGUGGUGUGUCCUCCUAUCCAGGGACAAGCAGAACUAGCCAAGAUUGCCUUCUCCACGCAGCCUCUCCUGAUUCCACACUUGUGACUUCAUGUUCCCAGAGCGCUGUGCUGGCACGUGUGCUAUGAUCUUGACUCUGUAUGCACCCCGACGCCCAGCUACAAGCAGCUCUACCCUUACCUAACCUUUAAAUUGCUCGAUUGCCUCAUCUGUAAAAACAGGGAUGUUAAUAGCACCUGUUUCACGGGGUUAUUGGAAGGUGUGUGUACAUACACACACACACACACACUCAUCAAUAUAGAUGAGUAUAGAUUGUGUGUAUGUAUACAUGCUUAGAACAAUUCCUGGCAUAUAGUAAGUGCUUAAUGAACAUUACCUAUUCUUAUUCAUGUUAAGUGGCUAUGACAAUGUGCCAGGGAAGGACAUCACUUGUAAUGACGGGGGAUAACACCUCUUACAAAAUCAAGUUGAGGUUCCCCAAAACUGGUCUGUGAAACAGCCUCCAGGGGGCUGUUUGUUAAAGAGACAG
rnacentral:lncRNA from 10 species